rnacentral:rRNA from 1 species
AGUGAACGCUGGCGGUAGGCCUAACACAUGCAAGUCGAACGGCGGCACAGUAAGAGCUUGCUCUUACGGGUGGCGAGUGGCGGACGGGUGAGGAAUACAUCGGAAUCUACUUUUUCGUGGGGGAUAACGUAGGGAAACUUACGCUAAUACCGCAUACGACCUACGGGUGAAAGCAGGGGAUCUUCGGACCUUGCGCGAUUGAAUGAGCCGAUGUCGGAUUAGCUAGUUGGCGGGGUAAAGGCCCACCAAGGCGACGAUCCGUAGCUGGUCUGAGAGGAUGAUCAGCCACACUGGAACUGAGACACGGUCCAGACUACUACGGGAGGCAGCAGUGGGGAAUAUUGGACAAUGGGCGCAAGCCUGAUCCAGCCAUACCGCGUGGGUGAAGAAGGCCUUCGGGUUGUAAAGCCCUUUUGUUGGGAAAGAAAAGCAGCAGGUUAAUACCCCGCUGUUCUGACGGUACCCAAAGAAUAAGCACCGGCUAACUUCGUG